rnacentral:rRNA from 1 species
GACGAACGCUGGCGGCGUGCUUAACACGUGCAAGUCGAACGAAGAGCGAUGGAAGCUUGCUUCUAUCAAUCUUAGUGGCGAACGGGUGAGUAACGCGUAAUCAACCUGCCCUUCAGAGGGGGACAACAGUUGGAAACGACUGCUAAUAACGCAUACGAUCUAAUCUCGGCAUCGAGGAGAGAUUAAAGGUGGCCUCUACAUGUAAGCUAUCACAGAAGGAGGGGAGUGCGUCUGACUAGCUCGUUGGAGGGGGAACGGCACACCAAGGCGAUGAUCAGUAGCCGGACUGAGAGGAUGAACGGCCUCAUUAGGCCUGAGACACGGCCCAGACUCCUACGGGAGGCAGCAGUCGGGAAUCUUCCGCAAAUGACGAAAGUCUGACGGAGCAACGCCGCGUGAGUGAUGACGGCCUUCGGGUUGUAAAGCUCUGUUAAUCGGGACGAAAGGUCUUCUUUCGAAUAGCGAGAAGGAUUGACGGUACCGGAAUAGAAAGCCACGGCUAACUACGUG